AAAUUCCAUACGCCAUCCUCCUCUCUUUUCCUCUCGCAUACCUCCAUGUUAGGUUCACUACUUCACAAAAAAGAUGACCCACAUCACGACGAGAGUCCCUGUUUCUACUGCAAGCUGAUACGAUGACGAUGCUUGGAAAUAGAACAGGUGUGUGGUGAUCUCAGCUGAUUUAGAAGCAGUAAUCCCAUGUUUUAAUCUUGUCUAUGAUGGAUGAGCAAUAUAAAGC
rnacentral:lncRNA from 1 species